GAAAGAGAGAGACUCCUCACCUCUCCUUCUGGGGAGUGUGGGGGUGUUUUGUGUAUCUCGGUAAGCUGGCUGUCCCCAGGAGAGUCAGGAUUUUGCAGGUGAAGAAACUCAUAGGAAAAGCAACUUGCCUAAGCUCAGUCAGAAAAUGAGUAGCAGAGCCAGCUACAUGUGAUCCAAUGAAUUCCCAGGGAAGCCAUUGCCAGCACUUCAUUCCCUGGACAGACUGAAAACGUUGCUUGUAAGGCCUGACCGUAGUUCCAGUGAUACCAAACUGGAGGGAAGCAGAGAGUGGUGAUAGACACUACCAUGGAUCACAGAUGAUGUAGUGCUAUAAAUCCUACCUCCACCCUACAUGUAGCCGGCAGGAAAUGCAAAAGAAGUUUUCUGGAGAGAGAGCCAACUUUUAACCACUGAGGAGCAAAGAGCUGAAGGGCUAACAUUACACAGAAGGCUUCUCCUGAAGACCUUAUGUGACAGGUGUUCCACCCUAAGCCUGGAGGAAAAGCAUGCUACAUUGGGAGAGAGACCAAGAAGAAUCUGAACAGAGGCCUUGCUGGGUUUCUCUCCGUCUGUUACCGUGAGAUUGUGCCAUUUUUGUCUAAGCACAUUUUUACACAGCUGUCCAUUCUUCAUUGGAUCUAAGCUUACAAGAGUAUUGGCGGUGACCCUUGUGAUGCGUGAUUGAAGAGAUGUUACAUCUUUUUUACCCCUACAUCAGCAAACAUUUACGGGCACUUAUUAUGUACCAGUGUAAGGGAUGAAAAAAAUUGCUUCCCUCUGGGUGGUGCCUGUGGCUCAGUGAGUAGGGCGCGGGCCGCAUAUGCCGAGGGUGGCGGGUUCAAACCCAGCCCCGGCCAAACUGCAACAAAAAAAUAGCUGGGUGUUGUGGUGGACGCCUGUAGUCCCAGCUGCUCAGGAGGCUGAGGCAAGAGAAUCGCGUAAGCCCAAGAGUUAAGAGGUUGCUGUGAGCUUUGUGACGUCAUGGCAUUCUACCCGAGAGCGGUACAGUGAGACUCUGUCUCUACAAAAAAAAAAAAAAAAAUUGCUUCCCUCUCUCCCUUCUAGGUAGUUUGGCUGGUCUGCAAAUUAAAUUGAUGUAAAACAGAUUAAGAGGAAAAAAACUAUUUUAGUAAUGUAUGCGUGCAUAGGAGUCCUACAAAAAUAUGGCAUUCAAAGACAAGGACAGAUGAUCGAGGCUUAUAUCAUCUUGAGCUACAGAAAGGAAUAAAGUUUGGGGGUCCUGGGGGGUGGGGGUGGGACGAGAUGUUAUGGGAGGGUGGUGGGGAAUGUAUGGCAAGUAAAUGUUGUCUUAUAAAGCAGAUGAAAGUUUCUCAGGUGAUAAAAGUUGUCUAGGAGUAGCUCUUUUCCUAGUGCAGACAUCUUUACUAGUAAAAAUUUUCUUUGUAAAUGUAAAUUUCCUUUACAAAAGGGCAACUCUUCAGAGCUACUCCUGUGUCUGCAGUUUCUUAAAUUAAGCAGCUCAAGAUAAUCAAUAUACCAAAAAGGAAUAUUUGGGGGGUAGUGCAUUUUGGUCUCCUGCAGUUAUAUUUUGGGGUGGUGUGUCUUGACCCCCAACGUAAGGCACUUUUUACAAAGAUUUUAUUUAAACCUCUUAAUAAACCCAUGCCAUAGGCACCAUUAUACUCUCUUUACAGACCCAAUGCAACUGGGUCUCAAAGAGGUUAACUAAUGUGUUCAAGGUUAUAUGGUGGGGUCAGGAUUUUGAAUUUGGGAGGUCGGAUUCUAAAACCCCACACCUUUUAAAAAUCAAAAUAUAUUUCACAUACCGUAAACUUCAUCUUUUAAAGUGUAUAAUUCCAUGGUUUUUAGUAUAUUCACAGAGUUGUGCACCUAUCACUGUUAUCUAAUUGCAUAUUAGUCCCUAUUCCUCCCUCUGCCCCUGGCGAUCACUAAUUUACUGUUGGUCUCUACGAUUUGUUUACUCAGGACAUUUCAUGUAAACACUGUCAUAUAACAUUUA